UAUCAGUAUAGAAUGCCACCUCCAGGGGUAGAAUCACCCUCUUGGAAGUUGAAAGGCCUACCCCUCCUUAAAAGAAUAAUGAGUUGUCUGCAGGGGUAGGUGUCUGGUUUAAAUUCCCUCUGCAGAAGUAUACACCUGCUGACUGGUUUCACUGCUUGAAGAAAAUCCCUCCCGCCCUUAAUAAAAAAUCAAUGAAGCUGAAAAAAAUCUAGUUUCUUAGAUUUGGGGUGGCAGUUGGAAAAUUGAUGAAUCAGUCAGCCAGUGCUGAACUAGGUGGUCUGCCAAAGGUUCUUCCUCUAAAACUGCCUUAGGCUCUGUUUGUGGCCUGUAUAUAUUCCAGCCCAGAUGGUGCCAGAGGGGCUGCAAAGAGGCACAUGUCCUGGAUUUUGCCUUCAGCUUAUUUACAAUCCAGGAGAAAGGGUUCAUCCAUGUUGUACCACGUAUCAGAAUUUCAUUCCUUCUAAAGAUGAUAUUCCUUUGUCCACACAUGCCUGUUUGUUCGCCUGUUCAUCUGUUGGUGGCCAUUUGGGCUGUUUCCACAUUCUGACUAUUGCAAACAAUGGUGUGAUGAACAUCGGUAUGUAAGUAUUUUGUUUUAGUUCCUGCUUUUAAUUGUGGUGUAUGCCUAGGAUUAGAAUUGAUGGAUCAUACAGUGAUUCUAUGUUUAACUUUCUGAGGAUCUGCCAAGCUGUUUUCCA